rnacentral:rRNA from 1 species
AAAUUGAAGAGUUUGAUCAUGGCUCAGAUUGAACGCUGGCGGCAGGCCUAACACAUGCAAGUCGAACGGUAGCACAGAGAGCUUGCUCUCGGGUGACGAGUGGCGGACGGGUGAGUAAUGUCUGGGAAACUGCCUGAUGGAGGGGGAUAACUACUGGAAACGGUGGCUAAUACCGCAUAACGUCGCAAGACCAAAGAGGGGGACCUUCGGGCCUCUUGCCAUCAGAUGUGCCCAGAUGGGAUUAGCUAGUUGGUGAGGUAACGGCUCACCAAGGCGACGAUCCCUAGCUGGUCUGAGAGGAUGACCAGCCACACUGGAACUGAGACACGGUCCAGACUCCUACGGGAGGCAGCAGUGGGGAAUAUUGCACAAUGGGCGCAAGCCUGAUGCAGCCAUGCCGCGUGUAUGAAGAAGGCCUUCGGGUUGUAAAGUACUUUCAGCGGGGAGGAAGGUGUUGUGGUUAAUAACCUCAGCAAUUGACGUUACCCGCAGAAGAAGCACCGGCUAACUCCGUGCCAGCAGCCGCGGUAAUACGGAGGGUGCAAGCGUUAAUCGGAAUUACUGGGCGUAAAGCGCACGCAGGCGGUCUGUCAAGUCGGAUGUGAAAUCCCCGGGCUCAACCUGGGAACUGCAUUCGAAACUGGCAGGCUUGAGUCUUGUAGAGGGGGGUAGAAUUCCAGGUGUAGCGGUGAAAUGCGUAGAGAUCUGGAGGAAUACCGGUGGCGAAGGCGGCCCCCUGGACAAAGACUGACGCUCAGGUGCGAAAGCGUGGGGAGCAAACAGGAUUAGAUACCCUGGUAGUCCACGCCGUAAACGAUGUCUACUUGGAGGUUGUGCCCUUGAGGCGUGGCUUCCGGAGCUAACGCGUUAAGUAGACCGCCUGGGGAGUACGGCCGCAAGGUUAAAACUCAAAUGAAUUGACGGGGGCCCGCACAAGCGGUGGAGCAUGUGGUUUAAUUCGAUGCAACGCGAAGAACCUUACCUGGUCUUGACAUCCACAGAAGAAUCCAGAGAUGGAUUUGUGCCUUCGGGAACUGUGAGACAGGUGCUGCAUGGCUGUCGUCAGCUCGUGUUGUGAAAUGUUGGGUUAAGUCCCGCAACGAGCGCAACCCUUAUCCUUUGUUGCCAGCGGUCCGGCCGGGAACUCAAAGGAGACUGCCAGUGAUAAACUGGAGGAAGGUGGGGAUGACGUCAAGUCAUCAUGGCCCUUACGACCAGGGCUACACACGUGCUACAAUGGCGCAUACAAAGAGAAGCGACCUCGCGAGAGCAAGCGGACCUCAUAAAGUGCGUCGUAGUCCGGAUUGGAGUCUGCAACUCGACUCCAUGAAGUCGGAAUCGCUAGUAAUCGUGGAUCAGAAUGCCACGGUGAAUACGUUCCCGGGCCUUGUACACACCGCCCGUCACACCAUGGGAGUGGGUUGCAAAAGAAGUAGGUAGCUUAACCUUCGGGAGGGCGCUUACCACUUUGUGAUUCAUGACUGGGGUGAAGUCGUAACAAGGUAACCGUAGGGGAACCUGCGGUUGGAUCACCUCCUUA